UACAGAUUAAUAAGUGAGUGCAGCAAGAGAUUGAGGGUGUAUUUGUGAAUGACUGCACAUUUAUCGAAAAGUGAAGAAAAACCGCAAUACAUUCUGUGCGCCAUACAACGAGCUACUAGCAGCAGCUGUGAACACACCAAAUUACAAAAAAUUAGAUCGAAAGUGAGAUAUUGCCAUUAUUCAAUAGAAAUUCAACAGGUUUGAAGUUUCAGAAUACAAAAGUUGUCAGCACGUUAGUUUGCAUUACAUUGUGGCAAUCACAGCAUAAGCAUUUUUGAUACGUGUUGAAUUAUCAUCAGAUCAACAACAAUGUUACGACCUUCGGCCAGAAUAGCUGUAAUGCAAAGCAAAAGCAUCUACACCGGUAAGCGUUUAGCACCACCAACACUCGAUACUAAACGAAAGCGACGCAAAUUGAACGAUGCCAAUGAACAAAACGACAUUACUUUAGCAAUGACACCAGCCGAAAUAAAACGAAGAAAGCACAAAGCAUCGCUUUUGGAUUUGAACGGCGAUUGCUUGGAGGAAAUAUUCGAAUGGCUAUCGCUGAAAGAUUUAAAUUCAAUUGGUUUAACGUGCACACGAUUACAACACGGUCUUUUUUCGUGAAGGAGUUCCAAGAAUGAACCGUCAUUGCAUUCGCGUCGAUGCGUUCUAUGAAUUUAUCCAAAGUAUCGAGGUUGAGAAGAAUGGUUACACUCAAUUUACCUAUAAUAAAUCGAUUAAAAGCAUCAGAUACAAUUUGAGAGCAAUCGAAAUCAAUUGGAACAGCGUUAAAGAACUGAGUUUAUCCCACUGUGAGGCUGUUGAAGAUUUGCAUGAUCUGCUAAAGCAUUGUGAGAAUUUGAAGAAAUUGGAAAUGAGAUUCAAUGAUAUUCCAACAAAUACCGAAUGGUUGAACCAAAAAUAUCCCAGUCUUGAAUGCUAAUGCCUUUUUUCGUCACGAAUACUUUCAUCAAUAACACCGUGCAUUUCUUUAAUUUCUUCAAACAAAUCGUUCUUUUUCUCCAAUCAAAUCCAAACAUUCGAGCUUUCUCACUCGACAUGGGAGCAUCAGCAUAUCUUGAACUGGCCUUGGAAUCAAACGUUCAACUGGAUGAUCUUAUCUUUUAUUGGCUUGGGAGUCAAUCGAUAAGUUUGGCCAAUCAACUGUACGACCGUGGUUUUUAUAAACGAUUACAUUUACUAUUUAGGGAUUGUGAGGAAUUUGAUUUGAAAGGACUUGAGACGAUCACACUGUUUACCGUUCCACACAUGAUUCCACAAAUUGAUAUUCAUCGAUCUGCUAUGGCCGGUAUUAAAACGUUCAUCUACUUGUAUCCAGACGACGUGGAAUAUAAUGCAAAAAACUUUGUGAAUGUUGAGCGAUUGUGGCUGAAUGCGCGUAUCGAACAGCAUAACAUUUUGUGGUUUAUCAAAUAUUCACCAAAACUGAAGGAAAUUUUUGCCAAUAAAAUAUGCAAGGCUGAUAGGCUGGUGCUUGACGUAUCCACAUGGAACAAAGAACGUGAAAAAAUACCCAAAGCCAAAAAAGUGAAUAUUUACGUCGAUGAAGAAACUUUCUUAGAAACAAAAUGGAAAACCAACACCAACUCAAUUGAUCUAAGCUUAAUCGCGAUAAAACGCAUCGAAUCUUAUCCGGUAAAUUUAUUUGGCCCAUUAGAUGUUACUUAUUGAUGAAUAUAAUAUGAAUUGAAUGAGUUCAAACAACAAAUUAUGAUUUUUCUUUAUUUACUGA